CUUCAUUGCUUCUUAUAGAUCCAACGCCUGAGCUUUAUAUGUUGUAAGAUCCACCACCUAAUGACUACACCUUGUUUGUCUAUGUGUCGGUUAGGUGAAAAGAAUAGACAAGACAGAGUUGAAACUACAAAGCGAACAAGUAGGCGAAUGAUUGAAGUUAUCCCGCGGGCCGGCCCGUUAGUACCAGGACUUUAGGCGGGACGGGAUUGG